rnacentral:rRNA from 1 species
GACGAACGCUGGCGGCGGGCUUAACACAUGCAAGUCGAACGGUGAAAGAAGAGCUUGCUCUUCUGGAGCAGGGGCGAACGGGGGAGGAACACGUGAGUAACCGACCCCAGACUCUGGAGGGGGCGCUGGAAGCGGCGUCUAAUACCGGAUACGAUACAGAGCUGCAUGGCUACUGUCUGGAAAUUUUUUCUGGCUGGGAUGGACGCGCGGCCUAUCAGCUUGUUGGUUGGGUAGCGGCUCGCCAAGGCAACGACGGGUAGCCCGCCUGAGAGGGCGAACGGCCACCCUGGGACUGAGACACGGCCUAGACUCCAACGGGAGGCAGCAGUGGGGAAUAUUGCACAAUGGGCGCAAGCCUGAUGCAGCGACGCCGCGUGAGUGAUGCCGGCUUUCGGGUUGUAAACCUCUUCAAGCAGGGACGCAGCGAAAGUGACGGUACCCGCAGAAGAAGCACCGGCUAACUACGUG